rnacentral:rRNA from 1 species
AUGAGUAUCAUAUGUUGGAACUGCCACGGUUUGGGCAACCCUGCGACAGUUCGAGAGGUUCGCGAGUUAGCGACCAAAUUUGCCCCGGCCGUGCUGUGCCUAGUAGAAACUCAACUUCUGAGUGCACGUGCUGAAAUUUUAGCUGCUUCUUUUGGUUAUAAUAAAUCGUUCUCGGUUAGUAGUAGUGGAAGGAGUGGUGGUAUUGUAAUCUUUUGGAACGAUGAAAUAAAUUGGAGGUUUCUAGUUACUCGAAAUAUCAUAUUGGCGCAAGGGUCUUGGAGCUGGGCCCUGUCCCUUGGAGGCUCUCAUGUGUAUAUGACGAAGCGCAGGUCGCCGAAAGGCACAAAACAUGGACCACUUUGUGUAAUUUGGCAGCGACGACAGGUGACCCUUGGGUGGUUAUAG